rnacentral:rRNA from 1 species
AAUCGAUGGGAGCUUGCUCCCUGAGAUUAGCGGCGGACGGGUGAGUAACACGUGGGCAACCUGCCUAUAAGACUGGGAUAACUUCGGGAAACCGGAGCUAAUACCGGAUACGUUCUUUUCUCGCAUGAGAGAAGAUGGAAAGACGGUUUACGCUGUCACUUAUAGAUGGGCCCGCGGCGCAUUAGCUAGUUGGUGAGGUAAUGGCUCACCAAGGCGACGAUGCGUAGCCGACCUGAGAGGGUGAUCGGCCACACUGGGACUGAGACACGGCCCAGACUCCUACGGGAGGCAGCAGUAGGGAAUCUUCCGCAAUGGACGAAAGUCUGACGGAGCAACGCCGCGUGAACGAAGAAGGCCUUCGGGUCGUAAAGUUCUGUUGUUAGGGAAGAACAAGUACCAGAGUAACUGCUGGUACCUUGACGGUACCUAACCAGAAAGCCACGGCUAACUACGUGCCAGCAGCCGCGGUAAUACGUAGGUGGCAAGCGUUGUCCGGAAUUAUUGGGCGUAAAGCGCGCGCAGGUGGUUCCUUAAGUCUGAUGUGAAAGCCCACGGCUCAACCGUGGAGGGUCAUUGGAAACUGGGGAACUUGAGUGCAGAAGAGGAAAGUGGAAUUCCAAGUGUAGCGGUGAAAUGCGUAGAGAUUUGGAGGAACACCAGUGGCGAAGGCGACUUUCUGGUCUGUAACUGACACUGAGGCGCG